CAUUAUUUGAAGAAUCUUCUUCUCUUCUUCUUCCAUCCCUUUUCCCUUUAUUUGGGGUCGGGCCACCUCACAUAUUUGCGCCAGGAUGUCCUGUCCUGGGUUGUCUGUUCUGGCAAUUGGGCUUGCUUGAGGUCUCCUUGUAUUUUUGACCACCAGGUCGUUGGUUUGCGGCCCUUCCUCUUGUUUUGCUCUUGUAAAUCUAGCGCUAUCUGUACCACAAGAUCUUUGCUGCGUCUUUUAAUAUGUUCGUACCAUCUUAAGCGGUUUUCGAUGAUUUUCUCAGUGAUUGGUGCGACUUUAAAGCUGCCUCGGAUGAAUUCGUUACGAAUUUUAUCUAGCCGAGUAACACCUCCCGCCCACCUCAGCAUCCUCAUCUCAUUGACAUUAUUUGAAGAAUAUAUGUUCCAAGUUCCAAGUUCCUAACUUGUACGGUCUUGGCCGUGCGUUCAGUCAUACAACAACGCAACAGAAAAGUGAGCAACAAAGACAAAAGAACAAAUAUAUAGCGCAACAAGAAACAGUGUCCUUAAAAUUAUAUUUAGCUUGUAAGAUUUUUAUCAUUGUAUGUAUGUUAGUCUGUAAGUAUCUAUUGCCCUUAAUUGCCUGAAAAUAAACUAUAUAGACUUUUUUGUUUUUAAAAUACUCAGGUAAAUAUUUGAAUUUCAUUACAGCCCAGAUAGUCACUCGCGAGAGAGGCCUCCGAUGGCUCCUUUACAAAGGUUUCACCUACCAGAAGCACACAUCCAAUGGCGCCAAGACUCGGUGGAGGUGCAGCCGGCAGGGAACGCACAAGUGUCGCUCUGUUAUCUUCACCAUUGAUGACGAGAUUGUUUCUGUCAGACAUGAACACACGCAUCCACCUUGUUAGGCUUGUUAACUGACAGAGUACAACGGAUACAAGUACCAGAAGCACAAUGUCGCUCCAUCCAACAUGAACAUACAAAUCUACCUUAAGAGACUCAUUCAUCAUCAUUUCAUUCACUGGUUUAUUUUCAAAUGUGCAGCUGUAAAAAUGGUCAUGACAAGAGGUUUUAACUUUACUACGCAUUAACUCGGCCUUUUAUUUGGUGUCAAUAUUGAUUAAACAAAUAUCUAUGAUCAAAAAACUUUGCAUUACCUCACAAAUCACUAUUGCUUACAUUUUGGUCAGCUUCAACAAAUCUGUAGGAUCUUCUUCUAUUUAUAAUCAUGUAAGGACAUUAUUACGAUAACUAUAUUUACGUUUCAGUCAUGUUCUUGCCAUCGAAGAAAGGCCGUCGACUUGUCAUACAAGGGUACUCAUUCUACAAGCAUACCACCGGUUAUAGAACUAGAUGGCGCUGCGCAAUGCACUUUGGUGGAUGUCGAGCGGUCGCCUUCACAAUAGGCGACGAUUUGGUUAAUGUUAAAAAUUAUCACAAUCAUAUAGCUAAUAACAGUAACAAUAGUGUCUGCAAUACCGUCAUGUCUAACACAUCGAUGUCUUCUAUUGUGUAAUAAAGAAUAUUUUUACUACAGUGUUUUAUGUUCUACGCAUAGGUAAAACGCUUUAUUAAUAUUUUUGUAAGAGGAGUAUUUUAUUGUAAUGAGUCCGGCUGUUGUAAUUAAAAGCUUACCGGUAUUGGAAUAGUAAAGCUUAACUAUUUAGUAUAUUUAUUUUAUUAGAGUUCACUUAUAUAUUUAAUAAGACUAUACUUAUUGAAUAAAGAAAUAUACUCGUAUUUUGCAUUUCUCUGCCCUAGCGAUCUCAGGACAUUCUGAGGUACCUAUUUUUUUAUUAAUGUUUAUUUUACCAUUUUUUUUUAUUAACUUUAUAGAAAUGCAAUCAGUUCAAGUGGCACUUAAAAGGCCAAAACAAUUGCACCGACUAAAGUUUAUAAAUGUAAAUUAAUUAUGGCAUGUUUAUUAUUCAUAAUAAAUGAUUUUCAGUGUUCUUCAAACGCUCGCAAAGAGGCAAUCGUCAGCUAGUGUACAACGGAUAUGCCUACAGCCCCCGACCGGUAAAGAACGGUAAAGUCAGAUGGACUUGCUCCACGCGCGGGUACGUCGGGUGCAAAGCUGUCAUUUAUACAGUCGAUGAUAUCGUGAUGACAGUGAAACAUGGCCAUAAUCAUUAGCAUUGAACGAUACAUUAAGAUUAUCCUACAAACUGUCAAAGCGGGGCAAUCGACAGCUAGUCGUCGGCGGAUACCCGUUCUCCGCGCGACCAGAAAAACACGGGAAGGUCAGAUGGUACUGCUUGACCCACGUGCCUCAAGGAUGCAAGGCAAUUAUUUACACCGUAGAGAAUAUUAUUGUGUCAAUAAGGAACGAACAUAAUCAUGAUUUUCGGAACAGUCAGUGAAGUGAGGAAGAGUGAAUGAUUAAAUUAUAACCAAUAUAACUAGCCAUAUUGUAAUUGUAUUGUAGACCAGUUUCUAAAAACAAACUACUGUAUUAAAUUAUUACGACAAAACACUGAUUCUUAAAUAAAACUAGGUCAUUUCUAUUGUACAUAAUUAAAGUACCUUACUUAGUUUCUAAGAAUUUCAGAAUCAAAUUUCAUUCAUACCAAAUAUUUCUGAACCAAGAAAUCUUGUGUCUCGUACUAUUUGGACCGACAAAGUGUUGCGUUAUUUAUGCAUUUCUUUUCUUAUUAAUUACAGUUGAAAAGAAAGUCUAUCCACUAUUUACUCGGUCUCGUAGUCCAGUAAUGGUAAAGUAAGAAUAUGACUUAGGAACUUUUGAAGAAUUCCAAAAUCUUAUUUUUAUUUCAGUCUUCUAUAAACUGUCAAAGCGGGGCAAUCGUCAGCUAGUUGUGGACGGAUACACGUUUUCCGCGCGACCCGAGAAACAUGGGAAAGUCAGAUGGUACUGCUCCACCCACGUGCCUCAGGGCUGUAAGGCCUUUAUUUACACUAUCGGGGACGAUGUGGUGUCAAUAAGGAACGACCAUAAUCAUGAGUUUCGGAAAACAGUAUGUGCUAUGAAGAUUAGUAAAGAGUUUUUAAAUCAUACCUAAUAUAACUAGCCAUAUUGUUAUUGGCCAGUGUUUUAUGAAUAAUUGUAUUUACUUUAUUGCAAUAAAACACUGACAAUGUUUUUUUUUUGUUUUUUUUUUUAAAGUAACUAUUAGUAGAGUCUGUGCGGAAAGAGAAGAGUCGUGGAAAGUAUGGGACUCAAUACAUUCCACGACUCUUCUCUUUCCGAACAGACUCUAUGCUUCCGUUUAUUAAGUUUCAUGCCGGAAAAUUAGAAAAAUCACGUUAAAACACUUCUAUUAGAUUCUAAAAUCAUAUUUUGAUUUCAGUGUCCUACAAACUGUCGAAGCGAGGUAAUCGUCAGCUAGUUAUAGACGGAUGGACGUUUUCUGCGCGACCAGCAAGGCACGGGAAAAUCCGAUGGUACUGCGCCCACCAUGCGACUCACAAGUGUAAGGCCUACUUGUAUACCAUAGAUGAUGAGGUUGUCAGAUGUGAUAAUGUGCAUAAUCAUUCACGCCCUACGGAUAAUCCCAGUGACAGUUCCUCCUCUUCGCUUAUGAAUAGACUUAAUUAAAAAAAGAAUUGAAGAAAUAUGUUCUUAACUUAUUUUUAUGACUUAAAUGUUGACCCGGGUAUGUCCUUAAACUACGUCCAAAAGAGAGGUAUGGGCAAUGUGAAUGUCAUCUCGCCUUAUGUGGUAGGGCACAGCACAGCAGAUGCCAUUCCAGAUCUAGAGCAGAGCCCAACUGGGGAAGUACCUCCACCUUACAGAAAACCGCAGCCAAAUAACACUUGACCCUACUCAUAGUGUUGUGUUCCUGCCGGUGAGCAAGGUUGCCAGAGCUCAACGAGGGGGGUGGGGUUAGGGUCGGCAACGCGCAUGUAACCCCUCUGGAGUUGCAGGUGUACAUAGGCUAUGGAGACUGCUUACCAUCAGGCAGGCCGUAUGCUUGUUUGCCAACGACGUAGUAUAAAAAAAAUGUUAUAAAUUACUUCCAAAAAUGUUGUAUGUGACAGUUGCUCCAAAAUUAACUGUCAUCGGGAUCAUCACUGGGAGCGCGAGUUAUAAGAAGAAGUAUGCUGCUUAAUAUGAGAUGUGUUGUUAUGAAUGAACAAUUAUCAGAUUGUAAUGUACGAUGUAUAUGUUUCGGGUAACGUUAAAACGUUAAUUAAACUCAAGUUUACCCUGGUAUAACUAGUAUUACCCGAGCAUUUUCGGUAAAGUCGGAAAAUUUAAACAACAUUAAUAUCUGUAUUCGGCGUUUACCCGUACACAUCUGGGUCUAGCCAACACUGGCUGGGUACGAUACUUAAAUACACCUACGUUUAUGUUAUAGAUUAUUAUUUUAUUUUGUAAGUGUAAACGUAAAUUCGUCCAUAGCACAAGUUCUCCGCGUGACCAGCAUAACAUGGGAAAGUUUGAUGUACUACACGCUCGAUGUACAACUCAUAAGUGCAAAACACACUUAAAUACCGUAAAUUUUUCGUACUAAAGGAUCAUAGUAGUUACCAUGGUAAGAGUGAUUCUCUGAGAAUAUGUCUCCGGUUAUGCUAAAUUAGGAAUGUUCAUUAGAAAUUUAAUGAUAUAUUAAAUAUGUUAAAAACGGAUCACUCUCGUAUUUUAAGUCGAAAACGCUCGAUAUGUUUCGCUUCGUACCGACUUCGAUUUCGACUUAAAAUGCGUGAGUGACCCGUUUUUAACAUAUUUAAAAUGUUUGUGUCUCACGGAAGUUCUGUUAUUAACAUUUUAUUAUAAUAAAAAACCUACGACGUCCAUAUCCUUUGCCAGAACAGACCGGCUCAUUCGUAGGCCAAAGAAUAAGCAUCGCCAUUCAACGAGGGAAGGUAACCAGCCUUAUGGGCACCCUUUCAAAGGUGUAAAUUAUAGAUUACAUUAGUAAGGGAUAAGUUAAACUUUAUAUUAUGACGUCAUUAUUGUUAGUCUCCAGACGUUGGUGUGGAGAUUGACACCAGAUACCGAGUUACAGUUGUCAGGAAUAUAAAUAAUAUCCAUUUCAAAAUGUGUUUUGACUGUUUUUAAACCCGUUUAUUUAAAUUUCCCCCUUGAGUGAUUUCUCAUUAAAAUUCCCUAUUUCACGUGUUUUAUUUUAAUACAUAUUUAGACUUAUUGAAAAUAUAGCAAUAAUAACAAAUUGCUCGAAUAUUCACCCAAUAACACAACAUACAUAUGAAAGUAAAUGCUUACAUCAAUCUUAAACUAAGUAAGUAUCUUACAAUCCAAUUCUUGCUUCCAUUUAGUCUUAAUUAUUGCUCACUUAUUUCUAGUAUUUAAUCGUUACAGUACAGUUCAUAAUGUCAGGAAGAGGCAAGCGUCAACUAGUAUUCGAUGGGUUCACCUACUACGCGAAACCCCGCGACGGCGCCCAUAAGCUACGAUGGUGUUGCUCGACCCACCAACGACGACAUGGUUGCAGGGCCGAGAUUUAUACUUACAAGGACGUGAUAAUUUCGGUGAAAGGACCGCAUAAUCACGAGGCUCGUUAUCCGAAAUUAGAGAACUGGACGAUAUAGGACGGAUUAGGUAUUUGAGCCGAAUGCAAUACCUAUACUUAUCGCGUCAAAUGAUGGUCUCUAUGAUACUUAGUAUUUAUAUGGAGUAGCGAAAAUGUUUGAAGAUAUUUUUGAAAGUUUAGCACAUUAAUUUAUUUGGCACCAUAACAGAUAAUAACAAUAUGGUAAAUACAUAUACAUAAUUACUUUUUAAUUAAACCCAGCCAAAUGGGAACUGAAAGAACUGUCAUAGAGACCACCAGAUGUUUUCUGGCUAGAUGUAAUAUAUAGUGCCUUUCAAAUAUAAAUUAUACAGGUUAAAUCGACGCAUACGCUUAUUGGCUUAUGCCCGUAUAGAUAUUAAAUAUAGGUACUUUUAAUCCGUUGGUUUCGAAAUACACCACUUUUGAAUUAA